rnacentral:lncRNA from 1 species
GGAUGGAAUUGAUAUAAAUGCCUUGGUUGAAAUACUGGAAUUGAGUUGGUUAUAUUUGAAAUUUUGCAGGGGGUUUAAUGUAAAAAUAAGCCGAAAUGCUGCCAAAAUUUUUAUAAAAUAAAAAAUGAAUGAAUGAAAUCAAUUAGUAAAAUUUAUAUGAAUUAUGAUUUACUUUAAUAUGUUGGUUGUUUAUUUUUAAAUUAUGUGUAAAUUGUGUGAUAUGUCCGGUAAUGCCUCAUAAAUCUGUUCCGGCGAUGGUUUGGGGGUUAGGGGGUGUUACAUUUAGUGGUAUCAGAGCUACAGUUUAGUCGAUUCUAGGACUACCGUAGUGUUUACGAGUCUAGCUAUACAUGCCAUAUUUAAACUGCGAUAGUGUGAUAUCUCCUGACAGCUUCUGAAUUAUGUUUGAUAUAGUAAAUUGAUCCAAAUCGAGCAAUGGCCGACGAUGUAGAAAGUAAUGCGCCAACUUCCACUCAAGGAACUGUGCCUUCUGAAUCGAUCCCUGCUAUGGGCAUUCAGGGAGAAGCUAAACAAGCUUUCUUCCAAAUGAUGUCUGAAUGGUUUUCUGAAUUUGUUCGAGCAAACCCGGCUGCUCAACAACCUCCACCCCCUCCAGUUCUCCAACCAAACCCUGAAAAUAUACGAGGUAUGGAUCUUUUACGAUUGAAUAGACCUCCUGUUCAUAAGAUACGAAAAUACGGGGCCGAAGAAUUCAGAGCCUCAGCUAGUGAUGAUACUGAGAGGGCCGAAUUCUGGCUUGAAAAUACGAUCAGAGUUUUCGAUUAAUUAACCUGUACACCAGAAGAAUACUUAAAAUGUGCUAUUUCAUUGUUGAGAGAUGCAGCAUAUCAGUGGUGGAAUACUCUAAUAUCAGUUGUUCCACGAGAAAGAGUUACAUGAGAUUUUUUCCAAACUGAAUUUCGAAAGAAAUAUAUUAGUCAGCGGUUCGUCGACCAGAAAAGAAAAGAAUUCCUUGAUUUGAAAUAGGGCCGUAUGACGGUAAAUGAAUAUGAAAGAGAAUUCGUAUGACUCAGCAAAUAUGCUCGUGAAUGUAUUUCUACUGAAGCUAUCAUGUGUAGAAGGUUCGAGGAUGGGCUGAAUGAAAAUAUUCGAUUGUUAGUCGGAAUUCUUGAAUUGAAAGAGUUCGUUGUGCUAGCAAAUAGGGCUUGUAAAGCCGAAGAACUUACCAAAGAGAAAAGAAAAGCUGAUUUUGAAGCAAGAGAUUCUAGAAAGAGAUUCGCGAGUAAACCGCAUCAGUCUGGAUCAAAGAAAUCUAAAGACUUCAAUUCCCGUUCCACUGCUUCAGCGGGUAUAUCAAUCAGAGAAAGAGAUGCAAGAUCAUUCAAUCUGAAGCCUCAAACGACAUCCAUUGCUAGUUUGGGUAGUGUGAGAAAUACAGGACCUGAUUGUAAACAUUGUAACCGAAAGCACUAUGGUGAAUGCCGAUUGAAAAAUAGGGCAUGUUUCAGAUGCGGAUCGUUAGAUCAUUUCUUACGAGAUUGUCCGGAAAGAUCUACUGCUGAUAGAGAACAAACAGUUAAAGUGGGUAAUACUAUUACCAGGGGUAGACCACUCCGAAAUGCAGGGAAUCAAAGUGGAAACCGCAGUACUACACGAGAUUCAAAUGUGAGAUCGGAGACCCGAGCACCUACCCGAGCUUAUGCUAUACGCGCACGCGAGGAAGCCUCGUCACCUAAUGUUAUUACCGAUACUUUUUUCUUUUUAACACUAAUAUAAUUGCGUUGAUAGAUCCAGGAUCAACUCAUUCUUAUAUUUGUAUGGAACUAGUGUUUAGAAAGAGUUUACAUGUUGAGUCUACAGAAUUUGUAGUUAAAGUAUUGAUUCUAUUGGGUAAGUCAGUGUUAGUUGAUAAAAUUUGUAAGAAAUGUCCAUUGAUGACUCGGGGAUACUGUUUUCUGGCUGACUUGAUGCUCCUACCAUUUGACGAGUUUGAUGUGAUACUGGGCAUGGAUUGGUAGAAUUUGCAUGAUGCAGUUGUAAAUUGCAGACGAAAGAGUAUAGAACUGAAAUGUCAGAAUGGUGAAAUUCUUCAGAUUGAAUCUAAUGAUUUGAGGGAAUUACCGGUUGUGAUAUCUUCUAUGCGAGCUCAGAAAUGUGUAAAAAGGGGCUGUGAUGCGUAUUUAGCAUAUGUAUUGGAUAAUAAAAUGUCAAAAUUGAAUAUUGAAUCGGUACCGGUUGUCAGUGAUUUUCUAGAUGUAUUUCCAGAAGAACUACCGGGUUUACCACCGAUCAGAGAAGUUGAAUUUGACAUCGAAUUGCUACCAGGUACAACACCAAUAUCGAUAGCUCCGUACAGAAUGGCACUUACAGAAUUGAAAGAGUUAAAAGAACAGUUACAAGAGUUAACAGACAGAGGAUUUGCAAGACCGAGCUUCUCACCGUGGGGUGCUCCGGUGUUAUUUGUUAAAAAGAAAGAUGGAUCAAUGAGAAUGUGUAUUGAUUACAAGCAACUGAAUAAAGUAACUAUAAAGAAUAAGUAUCUUUUACCGCGAAUCGACGACUUAUUUGAUCAGUUGAAAGGGGCUGCUGUAUUUUCAAAGAUUGAUUUGAGAUCAGGCUACUAUCAGUUGCGAGUUAAAGAUUCAGAUAUACCGAAGACUGCCUUCAGAACAUGAUACGAUCACUAUGAAUUUUUAGUUAUGCCUUUUGGUUUGACUAACGCUCCUGUGGUAUUUAUGGAUUUAAUGAAUCGAAUAUUCAGACCGUAUUUAGACAGAUUUGUUGUUGUGUUUAUUGACGACAUUCUGAUCUAUUCUCAUGAUGAGACGGAGCAUACUGAACAUUUGAGAAUUGUGUUACAGACUUUGAGAGAUAAGAAGUUAUAUGUUAAAUUCAGCAAAUGUGAAUUUUGGCUUCAGGAAGUCAGAUUUCUGGGUCAUAUUGUUUCAGCGGAAGGCAUCAGAGUUGAUCCAAGCAAAAUAUCCGCAAGUAUAGAUUGGAAACCACCGAAAAAUGUAUUUGAGAUUAGAAGUUUCCUGGGAUUAGCGGGAUACUACCGGAGAUUUGUAAAAGGAUUCUCGAUGAUUGCUAUACCGUUAACUCGAUUACUUCAAAAAGAUGUAAAAUUCGAGUGGACUGAUAAGUGUCAACAGAGUUUUGAACAGUUGAAAGCACUGUUAACUGAGGCACCAGUUUUAGUUCAACCUGAAUCGGGUAAAGAGUUUGUGAUUUACAGUGAUGCAUCGUUAAGCGGACUGGGUUGUGUAUUGAUGCAAGAUGGAAAAGUUAUAGCUUAUGCUUCUCGACAGUUAAAACCACACGAGAAGAAUUACCCGACACAUGAUUUUGAAUUAGCUGCAAUAGUAUUCGCAUUAAAUAUUUGGCGACACUAUCUGUACGGUGAGAAAUGCCGAAUAUUUACAAAUCAUAAAAUCCUGAAGUAUUUGAUGUCACAAAGAGAUUUGAAUCUGCGACAACGGAGGUGGCUCGAAUUACUGAAAGAUUACGAGUUUGUAAUUGAUUAUCAUCCGGGAAAAGCUAAUGUUGUAGCUGACGCUUUGAGCCGUAAGUCUCUAUUUGCUUUGCGAGUAAUGAACACUCGGAUGAUGUUUUAUGAUGACGGAGCCAUUCUACCUGAAUUAGAAGCUAGACCGAUAUUUCUACAUCAAAUCUGCGAGGCUCAGAAAAAUGAUAGAGAGUUACAAGCCAGACGAAUCCAAUGUGAGUCUAAUUCUGAUUCUGAAUUUAGUAUUGGAACUGAUGAUUGUUUAAUGUUCCGUAAUAGAAUUUGCAUACCUAAAGAUACUGAAUUAAUUCAGAGAGUUUUGAGCGAAGCACAUAGUAGUCGCUUUUCUGUUCAUCCAGGUAGCACUAAAAUGUAUAAUGACUUGAAACAGUUGUACUGGUGGUUGGGAAUGAAACGAGAUAUAUCAGAGUUUGUAUCGAAAUGCUUGAUCUGUCAACAAGUAAAAGUAGAACAUCAAGUACCAUCAGGUUUAUUACAGCCGGUGAUGAUUCCGGAAUGGAAAUGGGACAGAGUUACUAUGGAUUUUGUAUCGGCAUUGCCUCUGACUCCGAAAAAGAAAGAUGCAAUCUGGGUUAUCAUUGAUCGAUUAACAAAAUCGGCUCAUUUUAUACCGGUAUGUACAAAUUACUCCCUGGAUAGAUUAGCUGAAUUGUAUUUAUCUGAGAUUGUACGAUUACACGGUGUACCAUUGUCAAUUAUCUCUGAUAGAGAUCCAAGAUUCACAUCGAGAUUCUGGAAGAAAUUACAAGAAGCUCUAGGAACAAAAUUGAAUUUCAAUACAGCCUUUCAUCCUCAGACUGACAGUCAGUCCGAAAGAGUUAUACAGAUACUCGAGGAUAUGUUGCGUUGUUGCAUACUUGAAUUUGAAGGUAGUUGGGAAAAACACUUGCCUCUGAUUGAAUUUGCAUAUAACAAUAGCUUCCAGACAAGUUUGAAAAUGGCUCCGUAUGAAGCUUUAUAUGGUCGUAAAUGUCGGACACCAUUAUACUGGACAGAAUUAAGUGAGAAAAAGAUUUAUGGGGUUGAAUUGAUUAGAGAAACUGAAGAAAAAGUGAAAGUGAUUCGAGAUAAUUUAAAAGCAGCAUCAGAUAGACAAAAAUCAUAUGCGGAUUUGAAACGUAAAGAAAUAGAGUUUCAGGUUGGAGAUCGAGUAUUCUUGAAAGUGUCACCGUGGAAGAAAAUUUUUCGUUUUGGCCGUAAAGGAAAGUUAAGUCCGCGAUUUAUCGGGCCGUAUGAAAUUGUUGAAAGAAUAGGACCUGUAGCAUAUCGACUAUCAUUACCGUCUGAACUUGAAAAGAUACACAAUGUUUUUCAUGUUUCGAUGUUACAUCGAUACCGAUCCGACCCCUCACAUGUGAUCUCUCCCGUUGAUGUGGAAAUACAGUCAGAUUUAUCGUAUAACGAAGAACCGAUCAGAAUUCUGGCCCGAGAUAAUAAAGAAUUAAGAAGUAAACGUAUAGCACUUGUGAAGGUUCUUUGGCAUAAACACGGGAUAAAGGAAGCUACGUGGGAACCCGAGGAAGCUAUGCGAAAACAGUACCCUAAUUUGUUUAUCGGUAAGAUUUUCGGGGACGAAAAUCCCUAAAGGAGGGGAGAGUUGUAAUAACUCGUUUUUGAGUCUAAUCGGAACAGUGGUUUCGGGACCACUUAACCGAGUAAAAAUAUUUAUUAUAUUAUUUUAAUAAGUUUUACAGCAUGAUGGAAUUAUAGUAUAAAAUUUUCAUUAAGAAAUUUUACCGUUUAAAUACUUAAUUUAAUUAAAAGGAUUUAAUCGCGUCAAAUGCAAAAUUUGAAUGUUAUAUGUAAAGGUACCUAUUUGUUAUGACUUUUAUUAUAUAGAGUCCUUAUGUGGUAAUUUAAUCAUUAGAAUAUUGCAUGGUCAAAAAUAGACAGCCAUUAGGUGUUUUGUAAUUUUUAACUAUUAAGGUUAAUAUGGUCAUUAUGUUAAUAAGUUUUUUUUUAUAAUAAAACAAAACAUGAAAAAUCAAUGAUCCAUUCUUCUAUACUGCCGAAUUAACAAAGGAAAGAAAGCUUAUGAGCAAAGUAGGGUUCGGCACUUUUGGUUGUUGAUUAAGGUAUGUUCUUUGCUCGGUUUUUGAUGAUUUUUACGUUUUUAAGAUCGUUGUUUUGUAUUCUAGCUAACCCGUACCUUAAUUUCUGAAAAUUUUGAUGAUUUUGAAAUGUGCCAUUGUUGAAUAUGGGUAUAUUUUGAAGUAUUAUGCUAGAUUAUUGAUGGGUGUUGAAACAUAUACAGGUUUUAUAAAGUAAAUUUUGACAAAAAUGAGCUUUAGGGAUUUAAUAAAAAAAUAGAAAUAUUAUGUUAGAAAUGUGAAAUAAAUGAAAAUAUGGGCUAAUUAGAAGAUAUAUAUUAUUCGGUUAAGAAUUCGUAUAAAGAAAUUUCGUAUAUUUUGUGUAUUUGUGAAUUAGGAACUAAAGUGUCAAAAUGCGAAAAUAUGAAGGCUAUUUUGUAAAAAUGCCAAAAUAUAUUUAUAUAGAUUGAAUUGAUUGAUUUGGUGAAUAAAUGAGUUAAAUUUGAAUUUAUAUAGAUCAAGAUAAACAAAUACCGGAACUUGAUCGGGGGAAACAAAAGUUAGGCGGGUAGACGAAAGUAUUCGAGCAAAUACGAGGUAAGUUCAUGUAGCUAGAAUUGAAUUAUUAAAUAUUUGUAAUUGUCAAAAAAGAAGAAGAAUGUAUGUAAGUUGAAUGAAUGAUCCACUUGAAUUUUAAAUUACCGAUAUGCUAUUAUAUUACUGUUUACAUGAAUGCAAAUGAAAUGUUACAAAUACUAUAUACAUUAUAUAGAUUUGGUAUAAUAAUAGGCAUUGAAUAUUAAAUUUUGAGUAUUUAAAUGUAUGUAUUUAAUUAUAUUAAAUAUAUAAAUACACAUGAAUUGAGGAAUUGAGCUAUUGAUUUUUCAUUUCUUAAUUGAUGAAAUUGGAUAAUACUGAGCCCGUUUGAACUUUAGAAAAUCGUCGGAUACGAGUGACUUGUCACUAGGGUUACCGUUUGGUCGAGCUCCUGCAUUUGUUGCGGACUCACCACAGCUUGUAUGAGCUUACCGUUUCAGCUCUACGGAGCUUACCGUUUCAACUCGAUAGAGCUUACCAUUUAUCAGCUCGGAAUGAGCUUACCGAUCAUGGCUCGAAAGAGCAAAAAUGACAAUGAAUUGACGAAUUUCUGAUAAAUACACUUAUAGUGUAUCACCCGUGUAUCCCUCGAUGUGCUAAUAGGUUCAAUGGGCAUAAUUACUAUUACUGAUCAUAUGAAAAAGUUAUAUAAUUAUUUGGAUGAAUUACAGGUUACACGAUUAGGAUGGAAUUGAUAUAAAUGCCUUGGUUGAAAUACUGGAAUUGAGUUGGUUAUAUUUGAAAUUUGCAGGGGGUUUAAUGUAAAAAUAAGCCGAAAUGCUGUCGAAAUUUUUAUAAAAUAAAAAAAAAUGAAUGAAUGAAAUCAAUUAGUAAAAUUUAUAUGAAUUAUGAUUUACUUUAAUAUGUUGGUUGUUUAUUUUUAAAUUAUGUGUAAAUUGUGUGAUAUGUCCGGUAAUGCCUCAUAAACCUGUUUCGGCGACGGUUUGGGGGUUAAGGGGGUUACAGAAGCAGGGUUGGAAACUUAUCAUGCAACUUGAUUGUUUGUUUGCACGUGUAAUGAAAGCCAAGUAUUUUCUGAAUGGAGAUUUUAUGAGUGCAGGGUUAGGCGCUUACCCUUCGUAUACCUGGCGAAGCAUUCUGGGAGCUAGAUAUCUUCUCGAGGAAGGAAUGGGAUGGCGAAUUGGUAACGGAGAUUCAGUUAACAUCUGGAAUGAUAGGUGGCUUCCUGGACCUGGCAGUGGUAGAGUAGAAUGUCAAAAUAUUGAUAUCCGAUAUUCUAAAGUAUUUGAUUUAAUUAACAAGGAAGAUUAUACCUGGAAACAAGGAAUUAUUCGCACGCUGUUCGGCGAAGAGCAACUGCAGCAUAUAACUUCAAUUUCGUUGGUGAGCAGCAGGAUUCAGGAUGUUCCAGUAUGGCGUGGCGACAAUACUGGGAUAUAUACAACAAAAAGUGGCUAUAGAUGGCUUAUUACAGAGGGGGUACAAGUAUAAAUAAUGAAAUUCCUACUACUUUCUUUACAAGGCUUUGAGAGCUCAAAAUUCCAAGCAAAAUACGAAUUUUUCUAUGGAGAAUUGCUAAUGACUUUCUACCUACUCUACAUAAUCUAAAAGCCCGUAAUUUGAUUGUCAACACUUUGUGUCCGGUGUGCCAAACUGAAGAGGAAACGGUGGAUCAUCUAUUUAGAGGUUACAUAAUUACGCAGCACGUCUUGCGAGGUUUGGGAAUGGCAGUCCCAACAUGCAACAGAGAGAACAGUUGGAAGAUUUGGUUAGCAACAGAAUUUGAAAAUCAGAGCGUAGAUGCAUGUAAAAUUAGAGCUAUUACAUUUUGGGCAAUUUGGCAUAAUCGCAAUAAGAUUUAUCAUACGAGAGCCAGUUAAUGAAGUUGUGGGAUUUAUUAAGGCCUACUAUGCAAAAACAAAUGUUGCGAGAGAGAGAUUAAAGAACUCGUGUGCUAUUGGACAUUUUGUUUGGGAACCACCAGUUAAUGACACCAUAAAAAUUAUCCUUGACCCUUCCUUUAAUCAAUUAACAAAAUUUUCUAUCUCAGGGAUCAUAGCGUGAAACAAAGAAGGCCUAAUAAUGGCAGCGUGUACCUACCCAUUGGAAAAUAUUACAGAUCCAGUGAUGGCUGAGGCUAGGGCGUGUCUACAAGCCAUUAUUUUGGCUGAAGAUAUGGGGUUCUAGGAAGUCUGCAUUGAAGGGGAUGCGUUAACAAUAAUACGUAAACUGAACUCUGCGGAUGAAGAUAGAUCGUGUAUUAGCAGCUUGAUUAAAGAAAUUAAGGGAAAAAGUUACAGAUUUAAAAGAAUGUGUUUCAAGUAUAUACCAAGGGAGGCCAACAAAGAGGCUCAUACGAUGGCGAAAGAAGGGGGCGCUACGAGCAUCCUCGAUUCUGGAUAGAGGAAGCGCCGCAUGCAGUGGAGAUUUUGAUAAAUCAUGAGAGGAGAAACAACAUUCAUGGUGGUUAGAGAGAAAGACAGAGUCUGGGUCUGUGAUGUUUAUGAGCCCGAUGAACUCGCAUUUCAGAAAGAGACUGUGAUCUUAGGAAGGUACGAUAUUGGGAGAAAAUAUGUCUCUAGUACGGCUGAUACAAAGGUUUCAUGCUCAACAGAAGUAGAAGAAGGAAGGAGAAGGGUUUCUUAGGUCUUAUUUUUCUUUUUUGGCGUUUCAGGUUUCCUAGAUACAACUUUUAUUUCCAGUUUUGUUUUUCAAGGCACCGUUUUGGUGGCCAUUCAUUUUUUGACAUUUUAUUUUUCUGUUUUUAAGUCUGUAACACGUGUUUCCUUCUCCUUUUAUUUAAUAGAAUCA